rnacentral:tRNA from 1 species
GCCUGAGUGGCUCAGUCGGUUGAGUGCCCGACUGCAGCUCAGGUCAUGACCUCACAGUUCGUGGGUUCGAACCCCGUAUCAGGCU